rnacentral:rRNA from 1 species
CCUACGGGAGGCAGCAGUGAGGAAUAUUGCACAAUGGGGGAAACCCUGAUGCAGCAACGCCGCGUGAGUGAAGAAGGUUCUCGGAUUGUAAAGCUCUGUUAGCCGGGAAGAGGAAGGACGGUACCUGCAGAGGAAGCCACGGCUAACUACGUGCCAGCAGCCGCGGUGAUACGUAGGUGGCAAGCGUUGUUCGGAAUAACUAGGCGUAAAGGAUGCGUAGGCGGUUAAACAAGUGAUAUGUUAAAUAUAUAGGCUUAAACUGUAGAAAGCAUAUGAAACUGUUCAACUAGAGUGGAGGAGAGGUAAGUGGAAUGCCUGGUGUAGCGGUGAAAUGCGUAGAGAUUAGGAAGAACACCAGUUGCGAAGGCGACUUACUGGACUGUAACUGACGCUGAGGCAUGAGAGCAUGGGGAGCGAACAGGAUUAGAUACCCGAGUAGUC